rnacentral:rRNA from 1 species
GUGCCAGCAGCCGCGGUACUACCGGCAGCUCAAGUGAUGGCCACUCUUAUUGGGCCUAAAGCGUCCGUAGCUGGCCGACCAAGUCUCCCGGGAAAUCCACCCGCUCAACGGGUGGGCGUCCGGUAGAAACUGGCCGGCUUGGAACCGGAAGGCUCAGAGAGUACGUCCGGGGUAGGAGUGAAAUCCCGUAAUCCCGGACGGACUACCGAUGGCGAAAGCACUCUGAGAAGACGGCUUCGACAGUGAGGGACGAAAGCUCGGGUCUCAAACCGGAUUAGAAACCCCAGUAGUCC